UCGCUGAAAGCAUCUAAGUGAGAAACUAACCUCGAGAUGAGAUUUCCCAUUCGUCAGAAGUAAGACCCCUGAGAGACGAUCAGGUAGAUAGGCUAGAAGUGGAAGUGUAGUGAUGCAUGGAGCGGACUAGUACUAAUAGGUCGAGGACUUAACCAAG
rnacentral:rRNA from 1 species